AGAGUUUGAUCCUGGCUCAGAGCGAACGCUGGCGGCGUGGAUAAGGCAUGCAAGUCGCGCGAGAAAGCAUUCUUCGGAAAGUGAGUAAAGCGGCGAAAGGGUGCGUAAUGAAUGGAUAACCUACCCCCGACACUGGGAUAACUGUUGGAAACGACAGCUAAUACCGGAUGUGGUGGAGGAAUCUCCUGGUUCCUUGACUAAAGGUAGCUUCGGCUUCCGGUCAGGGAGGGGUCCAUUUCCUAUUAGCUUGUUGGUGAGGUAACGGCUCACCAAGGCUGUGAUGGGUAGCCGAGUUGAGAGAUUGACCGGCCACACUGGGACUGAGACACUGCCCAGACUCCUACGGGAGGCUGCAGUCGAGAAUAUUCCGCAAUGGACGAAAGUCUGACGGAGCGACGCCGCGUGGGGGAUGAAGGCCCGUGGGUUGUAAACCCCUGUCAACUGUUAAGAAUGAGGUAGGGUUAAGAGCUAUGCCUUUGACAAAAGCAGAAGUAGGAAGCCACGGCUAAUUACGUGCCAGCAGCCGCGGUAAUACGUAGGUGGCUAGCGUUGCUCGGAAUUAUUGGGCAUAAAGGGUCCCUAGGCGGUUAGAUAAGUUGGGUGUGAAAUCCCCGGGCUCAACCCGGGAACUGCGCCCAAAACUGUCUAACUUGAGCGCUGGAGGGGAAUAUGGAACUCCUGGUGGAC
rnacentral:rRNA from 1 species